rnacentral:siRNA from 1 species
CUGAAGUCUUGAGUAAUAUGCUGC